GCGCCAGUAGUGCAACGGGUUAGAGCACGCGAUCUUGAAUACAGUGAGAUAUGGGUUUGAGUCCCGGCUGACGCG